rnacentral:misc_RNA from 1 species
GAUGAAGAACGUAGCGAAAUGCGAUAAGUAGUGUGAAAUGCAGAAUUCAGUGAAUCAUCGAAUCUUUGAACGCACAUUGCGCCCCUUGGUAUUCCAUGGGGCAUGCCUGUUCGAGCGUCAUUUGUACCUUCAAGCUUUGCUUGGUGUUGGGUGUUUGUCUCGCCUCCGCGUGUAGACUCGCCUCAAAACAAUUGGCAGCCGGCGUAUUGAUUUCGGAGCGCAGUACAUCUCGCGCUUUGCACUCACAACGACGACGUCCAAAAGUACAUUUUUACACUCUUGACCUCGGAUCAGGUAGGGAUACCCGCUGAACUUAAGCAUAUCAAUAAGCGGAGGA